rnacentral:rRNA from 1 species
GACGAACGCUGGCGGCGUGCUUAACACAUGCAAGUCGAACGGUAAGGCCCUUCGGGGUACACGAGUGGCGAACGGGUGAGUAACACGUGGGUGAUCUGCCCUGCACUUCGGGAUAAGCCUGGGAAACUGGGUCUAAUACCGGAUAGGACCACUGCCUGCAUGGGUGGUGGUGGAAAGCUUUUGCGGUGUGGGAUGGGCCCGCGGCCUAUCAGCUUGUUGGUGGGGUGAUGGCCUACCAAGGCGACGACGGGUAGCCGGACUGAGAGGGUGACCGGCAACACUGGGACUGAGAUACGGCCCAGACUCCUACGGGAGGCAGCAGUGGGGAAUAUUGCACAAUGGGCGCAAGCCUGAUGCAGCGACGCCGCGUGAGGGAUGACGGCCUUCGGGUUGUAAACCUCUUUCAGCACCGACGAAGCGCAAGUGACGGUAGGUGCAGAAGAAGGACCGGCCAACUACGUGCCAGCAGCCGCCGUAA